UACAGAGGGUGCGAGCGUUAAUCGGAUUUACUGGGCGUAAAGCGUGCGUAGGCGGCUUUUUAAGUCGGAUGUGAAAUCCCCGAGCUUAACUUGGGAAUUGCAUUCGAUACUGGGAAGCUAGAGUAUGGGAGAGGAUGGUAGAAUUCCAGGUGUAGCGGUGAAAUGCGUAGAGAUCUGGAGGAAUACCGAUGGCGAAGGCAGCCAUCUGGCCUAAUACUGACGCUGAGGUACGAAAGCAUGGGGAGCAAACAGGAUUAGAUACCCUGGUAGUCCAUGCCGUAAACGAUGUCUACUAGCCGUUGGGGCCUUUGAGGCUUUAGUGGCGCAGCUAACGCGAUAAGUAGACCGCCUGGGGAGUACGGUCGCAAGACUAAAACUCAAAUGAAUUGACGGGGGCCCGCACAAGCGGUGGAGCAUGUGGUUUAAUUCGAUGCAACGCGAAGAACCUUACCUGGCCUUGACAUACUAGAAACUUUCCAGAGAUGGAUUGGUGCCUUCGGGAAUCUAGAUACAGGUGCUGCAUGGCUGUCGUCAGCUCGUGUCGUGAGAUGUUGGGUUAAGUCCCGCAACGAGCGCAACCCUUUUCCUUACUUGCCAGCAUUUCGGAUGGGAACUUUAAGGAUACUGCCAGUGACAAACUGGAGGAAGGCGGGGACGACGUCAAGUCAUCAUGGCCCUUACGGCCAGGGCUACACACGUGCUACAAUGGUUGGUACAGAGCGUCGCAAAGCCGUGAGGUGGAGCUAAUCGCACAAAACCAAUCGUAGUCCGGAUCGCAGUCUGCAACUCGACUGCGUGAAGUCGGAAUCGCUAGUAAUCGUGAAUCAGAAUGUCACGGUGAAUACGUUCCCGGGUCU
rnacentral:rRNA from 1 species